rnacentral:rRNA from 1 species
AUUGAACGCUGGCGGUAGGCCUAACACAUGCAAGUCGAACGGCAGCACAGUAAGAGCUUGCUCUUACGGGUGGCGAGUGGCGGACGGGUGAUGAAUACAUCGGAGUCUACUUUUUCGUGGGGGAUAACGUAGGGAAACUUACGCUAAUACCGCAUACGACCUACGGGUGAAAGCAUGGGAUCUUCGGACCUUGCGCGAUUGAAUGAGCCGAUGUCGGAUUAGCUAGUUGGCGGGGUAAAGGCCCACCAAGGCGACGAUCCGUAGCUGGUCUGAGAGGAUGAUCAGCCACACUGGAACUGAGACACGGUCCAGACUCCUACGGGAGGCAGCAGUGGGGAAUAUUGGACAAUGGGCGAAAGCCUGAUCCAGCCAUACCGCGUGGGUGAAGAAGGCCUUCGGGUUGUAAAGCCCUUUUGUUGGGAAAGAAAAGCAGCAGGUUAAUACCCCGCUGUUCUGACGGUACCCAAAGAAUAAGCACCGGCUAACUUCGUG